AUAGCGUAUAUUAAAGUUGUUGCAGUUAAAAAGCUCGUCGUUGAACUUCAGCCCUGGCCGGGCGGUCUGCCUCACGGUAUGUACUGUCUGGCUGGGGCUUACCUUCUGGUGAGCUUGCAUGCCGUUCAUUCGGUGUGUGAGGGAACCAGGACUUUUACCUUGAGAAAAUUAGAGUGUUCAAAGCAGGCAAAUGCCCGAAUACAUUAGCAUGGCAUAAUGGAAUAGGACGUGCGGUUCUAUUUUGUUGGUUUCUAGAGUCGCCGUAAUGAUUAAUAGGGACAGUUGGGGGCAUUAGUAUUGAGUUGCUAGAGGUGAAAUUCUUGGAUUUACUCAAGACUAACUACUG
rnacentral:rRNA from 1 species